rnacentral:lncRNA from 1 species
AUGACACAGGUGACAAAUGUGGCACAGGUGACACAGGUGGCACAGGUGGUACAGGUGGCACAGGUGGGCCGGGGCGGGUCCUGUCCCUCUCUCGCUCAUUCCCUGUGGGAUCUGUUCCCGCUCCAGGCUGGCGCUCCCCGGCGGGACCCGGCCCCGCGGGCAGGUGGCGGCAGCCGUGCAGGAGGUGCCGGGUGCUGCCACGCCCACUCAGGAGGAUCCAGCAGCUCCUCCAGCCCCGCCCUGCCCGGAGACCCCCCGAGCUCUCCCGUCCUGGCUCUGCCCAGAGCAUCUCACAGCUUUCCCGGCCCGGAGGAGUCAGGAAGGUCCAGGAGCUCUCCCAUCCCAGCCCCACCAGGAAGGUCCAGGAGCUCUCCCAUCCCAGCCCCACCAGGAGGAUCUGGGAGCUCUCCCACCCCGGCCCCACCAGGAUUCCCAAAUUCUCCCAUCCCACCCGUGCCAGCAGCAUCCCGGCUGUGGGAUUGCCCUGCGCAGCCUCCAGGCCCGGCUGGAGGAGCUGGAAAACCAGGUGCGGACGCUGGAGCUGGAGCGGGCACGGCGGGGACCGGUCCUGCAGCACCUCCCGGAGAGCGGCCGCAGAUCCCUGGAUCACCUCAGACCCCAGGAUCACCCCAGAACCCAGGAUCACCCUGGAUCCCAGGAGCAGCACGAGCAGCUCGCAGCGCUCCAGGCCAGGCUGUGCCAGCAGCAGCAGGACGCGGAGCGGGAGCAGAGCCGGCUCCAGGAGGCCGUGGCCGACUUGGAGACCAGGCUGGGAGAGCAGGAGCAGCUCCUGGAGCAGGAGCGCCGCCGCGCCGCCGCCGAGCGCUGCCGGGCGGAUUCGCUGCGGGAGGCGCUGGAGGAGCAGCGGCGGCUCUCGGCACAGCUGCGGGCCAUGGACAGGGCGGCGCUGGACGAGGCCAAGGACGCGUGGCUGGAGGAGCAGCGGGCGGAGCUGCGGGAUCGCUCCGAGGAGCGGCGGCGGCUGGCGGCCGCCUGGGCCGAGUUCCACAGCCGGGAGCGCCUGAGCCGGGAGCGGGAGGAGCAGGACAAGGAGCGCGCCCUGGGCGUGGACUCGGCGCUGAGGAGCCUGGCCAAGGAUCAGGCAGAGCUGAAGUUCCGGAGCCGGGAGCUGAGAUCCAAGGAGGAGCAGCUGGUCAGAGACAGGGAGGAGCUGGACGAGGCCUGGCGGGAGCUGAGGCUGGAGAAGGAGAAGGUUCUCCAUGCCGAGCAGCGCCUGCAGGAGCGGGAGGAGGAGAUCCGUGACCUGGCCGAGGUAAACGGAGCAUCCAGGCUUGAGUUCCUAGCUGGGAGCAGAGCUGGGGCUCCCCAUCCCCUGAGCUGGGGCUCCCCAUCCCCUGAGCUGGGGCUCCACAUCCUCUGAGCUGGGGCUCCACAUCCCCUGAG